rnacentral:rRNA from 1 species
UACGUAGGUGGCAAGCGUUGUCCGGAAUUAUUGGGCGUAAAGCGCGCGCAGGCGGCCUUUUAAGUCUGAUGUGAAAGCCCACGGCUCAACCGUGGAAGGUCAUUGGAAACUGAAAGGCUUGAGUACAGAAGAGGAAAGCGGAAUUCCACGUGUAGCGGUGAAAUGCGUAGAGAUGUGGAGGAGCACCAGUGGCGAAGGCGGCUUUCUGGUCUGUAACUGACGCUGAGGCGCGAAAGCGUGGGGAGCAAACAGG